AUGAUGCGAACUCGAUUGUUAUGGUUCAGCGUAGGAUUCGCCUCCUCAGCUGCGGUGGUUUCUCAUUUCAUUUGGAAGGAUCUCUGGGUUGACCGUCACGCUUUCUCUUCUCAUACGACUCAUCAAUUCGAAGCUCUUCAAACUCGAAUCUCAAAUCUCGAAUCCACUUUGCUGAAUCAAAAUCCAGUUUCCAAUCACGAUCAGGUUGAAGGCUAG